GAGUUUGAUCCUGGCUCAGGAUGAACGCUGACAGAAUGCUUAACACAUGCAAGUCUACUUGAAUUCUCUUCGGAGAUAGUAAGGUGGCGGACGGGUGAGUAACACGUAAGAACUUGCCUCACAGUUUGGGAUAACUACUGGAAACAGUAGCUAAUACCGGAUAUUAUGACACGGUCGCAUGAUCGAGUUAUGAAAGCUAUAUGCGCUGUGAGAGAGCUUUGCGUCCCAUUAGUUAGUUGGUGAGGUAACGGCUCACCAAGGCAGCGAUGGGUAGCCGGCCUGAGAGGGUGAACGGCCACAAGGGGACUGAGACACGGCCCUUACUCCUACGGGAGGCAGCAGUGGGGAAUAUUGGACAAUGGACCAAAAGUCUGAUCCAGCAAUUCUGUGUGCACGAUGACGGCCUUAGGGUUGUAAAGUGCUUUCAAUCGGGAAGAAGAAAGUGACAGUACCGAUAGAAGAAGCGACGGCUAAAUACGUG
rnacentral:rRNA from 1 species